CGUCUAGUUAAGCAAUUAUACCGUGAAACUGCGAAUGGCUCAUUAAAUCAGUUAUCGUUUAUUUGAUAGUACCUUACUACUUGGAUAACCGUGGUAAUUCUAGAGCUAAUACAUGCUGAAAACCCCAACUUCGGAAGGGGUGUAUUUAUUAGAUAAAAAACCAAUGCCCUUCGGGGCUUCUUGGUGAUUCAUGAUAACUAAACGGAUCGCAUGGCCUUGCGCCGGCGACGGUUCAUUCAAAUUUCUGCCCUAUCAACUUUCGAUGGUAAGGUAUUGGCUUACCAUGGUUUCAACGGGUAACGGGGAAUUAGGGUUCGAUUCCGGAGAGGGAGCCUGAGAAACGGCUACCACAUCCAAGGAAGGCAGCAGGCGCGCAAAUUACCCAAUCCCGACACGGGGAGGUAGUGACAAUAAAUACUGAUACAGGGCUCUUUUGGGUCUUGUAAUUGGAAUGAGUACAAUUUAAACCUCUUAACGAGGAACAAUUGGAGGGCAAGUCUGGUGGACAUUCAGCUCCCAUUCUGCUGACGCCAGAGAUAGUCGGGCGGCCCUUUGGGCUGUUAUGCCGGCUAGUCGCGCACCUGUCGAUGGAUGGGGAGGUGCCGGCAAGACAACCUGGAUCGGGGAAGGCUAAGGUGCGUAAGCGCUAUGCUAAUCCCGAGCAGAGCUUGUGCGGAGCGAUCCGCAUGAUAGCCUGUGUAGAGCACGGUAAGGUGUCGGCCUACUCUCUGAGUAGGCUUAAGGUACGUGCCAAUCCCAUCCGAAAGGGGUGGCUGUCAACAGUAGCGCCCAUCACGCGAAGGUUGACAGGUCCGAAUUGUGCGGGUAGCGUGCGCACGUUCGGAGUAGCAAUGGCCAGCAGCCGCGGUAAUUCCAGCUCCAUAGCGAAUAUUAAAGUUGUUGCAGUUAAAAAGCUCGUAGUUGAACCUUGGGCCUGGCUGGCAGGCCGCCUCACCGCGUGGACUUGUCCGGCCGGGCCUUUCCUUCUGGAGACCUCAUGCCCUUCCCUUGGG
rnacentral:rRNA from 1 species